rnacentral:rRNA from 1 species
UACGUAGGGUGCAAGCGUUAAUCGGAAUUACUGGGCGUAAAGCGUGCGUAGGCGGUGAUGUAAGACAGUUGUGAAAUCCCCGGGCUCAACCUGGGAACUGCAUCUGUGACUGCAUCGCUGGAGUGCGGCAGAGGGGAUGGAAUUCCGCGUGUAGCAGUGAAAUGCGUAGAUAUGCGGAGGAACACCAGUGGCGAAGGCGGCGACCUGGGCCAAUAUUGACGCUGAGGUGCGAAAGCGUGGGGAGCAAACAGG